GACGCAAAAGUUUUAAGAAUAUAUUUUAACAUCUCAAUUAAGAAAAAAAAUCACAUUUGUUUGCUCAUAUGUAGUUCAAGCAGAUAACUAUAUAAUGAUGGCAUUUCCACUCAGUAUUUAAAAGUCAAAGGUAGAUAUCAGGUGGGAACCGCUUACAGUGUAAUCCUGGGAGCCCCAAGCUGUCUGUUUGUUUAUAGAAACAGUUGCUCGUGACGGAAUUCAUGCUUGUGAAGUCACAUAGACCAGAAGUUCAAAUGAAAAGCUUUUCAAAAGAAUGCACAGAACGUUUCUAUGCUAAGGGAAUUCUUGUCCCCCGUGAUGAGGACAGUUCACAUUUGGAGCCCAGCUUCUCCUGCGGAGGGGGUAGGGAACAGAGUGGGGCUUCAUUUUCUCACAAAAGGCACAAUGUGAGGCACAUCUGUGAACACGGCCCAGCAAAGAAACCGGUCUCCAGAAACUGAAAGGGGAGUAAAUUUUUCUUUAAAAAUUAGAUACAGAUUAUCGCUUCAAAAUGCAGGAGGGAAUUUUACAAGUGAUGGUGUGCCGAUUAGCUUUGCAAUGAACAUCCAGCCCUUUAUAGAAACGCAUACUAGCGGUGGUCAGCUGUGACAAAUGUGGUUUAUUACUCCCCAAACUGAACUACCCAUCUAAUGUAAAUGAGGAAUGUUGGGUGAACUUGAACUGCUUGGACAUGAAUGACCAGAGAAUUUAUUUGAUGAGACAUUAAAGGCUAACUAUGGGAACUGUC
rnacentral:sRNA from 1 species